AUACAGCUGACGAGUCCUUAAUAGGAAGAAACGCGUGUCCUGGAU
rnacentral:hammerhead_ribozyme from 1 species